rnacentral:rRNA from 1 species
GUAGGUGGCAAGCGUUAUCCGGAAUUAUUGGGCGUAAAGCGCGCGUAGGCGGUUUCUUAAGUCUGAUGUGAAAGCCCACGGCUCAACCGUGGAGGGUCAUUGGAAACUGGGAAACUUGAGUGCAGAAGAGGAAAGUGGAAUUCCAUGUGUAGCGGUGAAAUGCGCAGAGAUAUGGAGGAACACCAGUGGCGAAGGCGACUUUCUGGUCUGUAACUGACGCUGAUGUGCGAAAGCGUGGGGAUCAAACAGGAUUAGAUACCCUGGUAGUCCACGCCGUAAACGAUGAGUGCUAAGUGUUAGGGGUUUCCGCCCCUUAGUGCUGCAGCUAACGCAUUAAGCACUCCGCCUGGGGAGUACGACCGCAAGGUUG